AGCAAUGAUGUUUAGGAUCGAAGAACUGGAAUAGGACUCUCAUCAUAUCUUCUUUGAAACCAGUGGUAACCAAAUUGAGGAGAGAACCAUGUUUCUUGAUGAACUGAGCCUGAUCGGGAAGUUCUGACACUAAAUCCUUGAGUUGAGGAGAGAUGGCUACAAAAUUGAUCCGGAUGGUCUUCCUGGGAGCCAUAGCCUUACAAAAC
rnacentral:lncRNA from 1 species